GCCGAGGUGGUGGAACGGUAGACACCGGAGACUUAAAAUCUCCUGACUGUAUAAGUCGUGCGGGUUCGAUUCCCGCCCUCGGCA
rnacentral:tRNA from 1 species